rnacentral:rRNA from 1 species
CGAAUUUAGAAAGGGCAAUUGGUGGAUGCCUUGGCGACACCAGGCGAAGAAGGACGUGACAAGCUGCGAUAAGCCUCGGGGAGCGGCACAUACGCUUUGAUCCGGGGAUUUCCGAAUGGGGCAACCCGAUAACCGUACACUGAACAAAAUAGGUGUAUAGGAGCGAACCCGCCGAAUUGAAACAUCUUAGUAAGCGGAGGAAAAGAAAGCGAAAGCGAUUCCGUAAGUAGUGGCGAACGAAAGCGGAGCAGCCCAAACCUCUGGGAUUUAUCCCGGAGGGGUUAGGACUCUCAACAUAGAUACCGAAAAGGCUAGGAGAAUCUUCUGGAAAGGAGAGCCAUAGGAGGUGAAAGCCCUGUAACUUAAAGCUGGAUUGGGUCUGGGAGUAUCCAGAGUAGCACGGGACACGUGAAACCCCGUGUGAAUGAGCGCCGACCACGGCGUAAGGCUAAAUACUCGGUGUCGACCGAUAGUGAACAAGUACCGUGAGGGAAAGGUGAAAAGAACCCCUGUUAGGGGAGUGAAAAAGUACCUGAAACCAAUUGCCUACAAUCAGUCGAAGCACCGCAAGGUGUGACGGCGUACCUUUUGUAUAAUGGGCCUAGGAGUUAUUGUUUGUGGCGAGCUUAAGUGUUUAAGGCACGUAGGCGCAGGGAAACCGAGUCUGAAUAGGGCGAGUAAAGUCGCAGGCAAUAGACCCGAAGCGGAGGUGAUCUAUCCAUGGCCAGGUUGAAGCUUUAGUAAAAUAAAGUGGAGGACCGAACCGGUCACUCUUGAGAAAGUGUCGGAUGAGCUGUGGAUCGGAGCGAAAGACUAAUCAAACCCCGCGAUAGCUGGUUCUUUCCGAAAUAUAUUUAGGUAUAGCCUCGUUGCGCUGAUGACUGGGGGUAGAGCACUGAAAAGGCAAGGGCCCAUACCCGGGUACCAACCCUUACCAAACUCCGAAUACCAGUCAAAGAAGCACGGGAGUCAGACUGUGGGGGAUAAGCUUCAUAGUCGAGAGGGAAACAGCCCAGACCACCAUUUAAGGCCCCUAAACAAUGCUAAGUGGAAAAGGAUGUGAAUUUACACAGACAAUAGGGAUGUUGGCUUAGAGGCAGCCACCAUUUAAACAGUGCGUAAUAGCUGACCUAUCGAGUGAAUUUGCGCCGAAGAUGAUCGGGACUAAGCAUUGUGCCGAAGAUGUGGGCUUGCAGAAAUGUGAGCGGUAGGAAAGCGUUCCUGAGCCAUUGAAGCCAAAGCCGGCAAGGCAUGGUGGAGGGUCAGGAAGUGAAAAUCUAGGCUUGAGUAACGAUAAAACCGGUUAGAAUCCGGUUCGCCGUAAGGAUAAGGUUUCCCGGGCAAGGUUCGUCCGCCCGGGGUUAGUCGGGAGCUAAGGCGAGGCCGUAAGGAGUAGUCGAUGCAAAGCAGGUUAAUAUUCCUGCACCAAGUGAAGAGGACGAAGGGUGAAAGCGCACUAUCUUAUUGAAUUGGGACUCCGAGGCUACGGCCGAGGGGGUAUGCGUGGAAGCACUUCCAGGAAAAGCCUUCACAAUAAAGCCCGUACCGCAAACCGACACAGGUAUCCGGGAAGAAUAUUCUCAGGCGCGUGAGUUAAAUCUCUCUAAGGAACUCGGCAAAUUGGCCCUGUAUCUUCGGUAAAAAGGGUGCCCCGCGAGGGGCCGCAGUGAAAAAGGCCAACCGACUGUUUAGCAAAAACACAGCUCUCUGCAAACACGCAAGUGGACGUAUAGGGAGUGACACGUGACCAAUGCGGAAAGGUGAAAGCUGGCGGUGCAAGCCUCUGGUCUAAGCCUCCGUGAAUGUCGGCCGUAACUAUAACGGUCCUAAGGUAGCGAAAUUCCUUGUCG